rnacentral:lncRNA from 1 species
GUAACACCCUACCAUACAGAGACUUAUGCUUAAGUCAUAAUUCAGAGAUGGCAAGGUAUUACGACCUCUAAAACAAAAAUUUAGUACGUAUAGUAGUAUGAAUGAUUGAUUAUAACUAGGAGCCUUGUAGAAAAAAGGGAUAAACAAAAACCGCAACUCGAAAGCGCAACACUCCGAUCACUAACACAACGAGCAAAGGAUAAGCUAACGC